rnacentral:rRNA from 1 species
AUUGAACGCUGGCGGCAGGCCUAACACAUGCAAGUCGAACGAGUGGCGGACGGGUGAGUAAUGUCUGGGAAACUGCGCGAUGGGGGGGGAUAACUUCUGGAAACGGUAGAUAAUACCGCAUACUCUCGGAUGCGCCCAGAUGGGAUUAGCUAGUAGGUGGGGUAACGGCUCACCUAGGCGACGAUCCCUAGCUGGUCUGAGAGGAUGACCAGCCACACUGGAACUGAGACACGGUCCAGACUCCUACGGGAGGCAGCAGUGGGGAAUAUUGCACAAUGGGCGCAAGCCUGAUGCAGCCAUGCCGCGUGUAUGAAGAAGGCCUUCGGGUUGUAAAGUACUUUCAGCGAGGAGGCGUUACUCGCAGAAGAAGCACCGGCUAACUCCGUGCCAGCCGCCGCGGUAAUUC